GAUGAACGUUGGCGGCGUGCCUAAUACAUGCAAGUCGAGCGAACGGACGAGAAGCUUGCUUCUCUGAUGUUAGCGGCGGACGGGUGAGUAGCACGUGGAUAACCUACCUAUAAGACUGGGAUAACUUCGGGAAACCGGAGCUAAUACCGGAUAAUAUUUUGAACCGCAUGGUUCAAAAGUGAAAGACGGUCUUGCUGUCACUUAUAGAUGGAUCCGCGCUGCAUUAGCUAGUUGGUAAGGUAACGGCUUACCAAGGCAACGAUGCAUAGCCGACCUGAGAGGGUGAUCGGCCACACUGGAACUGAGACACGGUCCAGACUCCUACGGGAGGCAGCAGUAGGGAAUCUUCCGCAAUGGGCGAAAGCCUGACGGAGCAACGCCGCGUGAGUGAUGAAGGUCUUCGGAUCGUAAAACUCUGUUAUUAGGGAAGAACAUAUGUGUAAGUAACUGUGCACAUCUUGACGGUACCUAAUCAGAAAGCCACGGCUAACUACGUG
rnacentral:rRNA from 1 species